rnacentral:rRNA from 1 species
UACGUAGGGUGCAAGCGUUGUCCGGAAUUAUUGGGCGUAAAGGGCGCGUAGGCGGCCACGCGUGUCUUCCGUGAAAUCCCUCGGCUCAACCGAGGACGUGCGGAAGAAACUGCGAGGCUCGAGUCCAGAAGAGGGGGGCGGAAUUCCCAGUGUAGCGGUGAAAUGCGUAGAUAUUGGGAGGAACACCGGUGGCGAAGGCGGCCCCCUGGGCUGGUACUGACGCUGAUGCGCGAAAGCGUGGGUAGCAAACGGG